AUUAAGCUUUUAAGCAUGAGGUUUUAUGUUACUCUGGUUACGAGCUGGGCUGUUUUAACAUUUGCUGUAGCUGUAGAUGCCACAGACUUUGGUUUCCAAAAUGGGCUGGGGGUGUAGAUUGUAUCAGAGAGCGAGAACUUGUAGGCAUGAAAUAAGACAGGUUUUACACACACACAUAUACAUUCAUAAAGUUACAAAUCGCAAGCGCACAAAACACCAGGCAAACUCCCACUCACCUUCUAUCCUAGAGGCUCCGCCCCCAGAUUCGCCUCUCCUAGGCCCCGCCCAUUUCCCAGACUUCCGCUGGCUCAAUGCUCCUGGGCGCUCCACGCCUUCUGCGACCCCGCCCACCAUUCGCGGAGGCCCCGGUGAGCCGCUUCACAGGUCCCUCUGAGCCUGACCGCUGCACCUGCGCAGUCCGAGCCUGGAUACGGCUCCCAGAAGCCUCCGGGACUCGGCUCUGUUCACGGAGGCGGCUGGUCCUUCAGGGAACUGCAGUCUGGGCUGAAAGACUUCCAGGCGGCUCUGUUCCAGACCAGGAGGCUCCAACAGGGGACAGUGAUCACUAGGCCUGGGAGAGGAACCCUGCCUAGCAGCCUCCUCGCCCGAUUUCAGAAAGCCGCCGCCACCCGCCGGGACUACGUUUCCCAGGGGCCGUUGCACCGGAAGGGCACGCCCACUUCCGGCAACGGCUUGAAGUCCGGGCACGAGCGAGUCUGGCAGUUUCUGAGGAGAAAACCUGGGCGGGGCGGCGGCCGUGACUGGGCCCAGGCCCUGUAGAGGCGCCGAGAGGGCGGCGUUCGGGUCCGCGCCCGUGGAGAGGUGGGGGUGGGCGUCAUGGACGUGCGACUGCGGCCUGCAGUGCGUGGUGUCUGUGUGACCGGGAAGAGGAAGCAGGUCCGUGUGUGAAUGGGGGUUCGAGAUGCGGCUGGUGGGGCGCGGAGGAGGGCAGUGUCUGUCUGGGGCCUGUGUUUCUGCGCGUGUCUUUUGCGCACUUCGCACGUCUCAGCAGCAUGUGAGGGACGGCGUGUGUUGCAGUGAGUGAAUGAUAUUACGUGGCUGAGACCUGGACACACCACCAGAGAAGAACCUCUUCGUCCCCCACUCCUACGCGCGCGCGCGCACACACACGCACGCACGCGCGCACGCACACACACACACACACACACACACCCGACUCCACCACCAGGAGCCCAGUGUGGAACAAAGCCCUGGAGUCCUGGGAAGGUGCCUCGUUGCGGGGGCGCGGCUGAAGCAUCUCUUGCCUGCCCCACAUGGAGGGUGUGGAAGCCGGGACACUGCACACGACCACGGGACUGGGUACGGAGAAGAGGAACUGAAACAGAGAGAGGACAAGUAAUCACUAGUAAGUGGAGGAGCCAGGAUUCACGUCCAGGACAGGCCGACUCCAGAGUGCCCCCUGUGCUGGCUCUCGUGUAAUCCCCUCAGCAACUACUCAAGGAUUCAGUGACUUUCACGGAUAUAGCCAUAGACUUCUCCCACGAUGAGUGGGAGUGGCUGAAUCUUGCUCAGAGGACUUUGUACAAGAAGGUGAUGAUAGAGAACUAUGGGAGCCUGGUUUCACUGGGU